rnacentral:lncRNA from 10 species
GUGGGGUGCAGGCCAGGGAAAGGACUAAAAGGGUGGAGGUGUUGGAAAGGUGGGAUAAAAGCAUGGUGGAGGGGAAGGCGUGAGCCCUGUCAUUUGGGCUGCUGCGCUUGGGCUUCUAUUCCCUCAAGUGAGACUAUCAGAAGGAGUCCGCAUUUUUCAAUAGAGCAGCACGACAUUAAGCGGAUGGUUUCUGAACACUGGCACUUCAGACUGUGAGGUCUCUGUGGGUGGGUUUUAUGCCGUGCUCUUUGGUUGCUGGAAUAGAAAUCCCACGGGAAUCGUGUAGCAGCAGCAGACUUUGUGGAUAGCAAAGAGGAUUAUGUGAGGACAUUGGGAAGAGAAGACUUUGUUCGGUUGUAGAAGAUUCUGUUACAUCCUUCCUCAAAGACAAUGAUUACCACUUACUCGUGGUGCAUUUGCAUACCUUCAAAAAUCCAAGAAAGGAAACGGAGUCCUCUCCACUGAAGAUCUACUCUAAGGGAUCUGCUGCCUCCAUUCAGACACAACUAUCUGGAAGCUUCUCAAGACUGAAAAAAGUUACAUCUCACUAGCUACACGACAAUAUGUAAAGUAUUUGGCAAUGUGCCUUGUUAAGCAUUAAAGAAAUGGCAGUUAUUAUUAAGCUGUCACUAUUUUGAAGUUUUGCAUUUUUUGACAUUGAAAAUAUAAGAUGAAACAAAUAGUAAAAUAAGGGAAGAGGAGGUUCAUCAAUGUAUAUUUUGCAAAUACUUAGGGUUUUUUUUUAGCUGUUUCUUUUUAAAAAUUCUGGAU